UACAGAGGGUGCAAGCGUUGUUCGGAAUUAUUGGGCGUAAAGCGCGUGUAGGCGGCUUUGCAAGUCGGGUGUGAAAGCCCUCAGCUCAACUGAGGAAGUGCGCCCGAAACUGCAGAGCUUGAGUGCCGGAGAGGGUGGCGGAAUUCCCCAAGUAGAGGUGAAAUUCGUAGAUAUGGGGAGGAACACCGGUGGCGAAGGCGGCAUCCUGGACCGAGAUCGACGCUUAGGCGCGAAAGCUAGGGGAGCAAACGGG
rnacentral:rRNA from 1 species